GCAUCCUGGGGGUGGAGAAGCUCCCAAGGGUUUGGCUGUUCGCCAAUUAAAGCGGUACGCGAGCUGGGUUCAGAACGUCGUGAGACAGUAGACAUUUCCCUCACCUUGAAAGGUGAGGGAUAAACGAGCUGUCUAUAAAUCUAGCUAUUUGCUGGAACUCCUGUCGGCCUCAAAUUAAUGUGAGGCUUGAGUAUCUCACACUACUUAUAAUAUAAUUAAUAUUAUGAGUAAUAAUGUGUUGAGUGCAGAUAACCAGCAGGGAAGGGCAAGGCAUUCUCUUGAUCCAUGGUAUAUAACGGGAUUCGUGGAAGGCGAAGGAACUUUUCAUAUCGCCUUUUACAAGGAUCCCCGCAUGAAACAAUCCAUUAAAGUGAUACCGGAAUUCCACGUAAACCAAAGCUAUUUGCGAAUUGGAACAUUGAAAGAUAUUCAAAAAUACUUCGGUUGCGGUUACAUUAAAGCUAAUCAUGCGAAAAAUACCAAAGACACCACUUAUGUAUUUGUGGUGCGUGAUCGGGAAGAAUUAAUCAGAAAAAUCAUUCCUUUCUUCAGAAAAUAUCCUCUUCAUUCGAUUAAACAAGAAAGUUUCAAGAUAUUCGCUCAAAUAGUAAAAAUGAUGACAAAAGGAAACCAUAGGAAUAAGAAGGGAAUAGGAAUAAUCAUCAAUCUUGCUUACCAAAUGAAUAACUAUGGCAAAUAUCGGGCAAGAAACAAGAAUGAUUUGCUGAAAACUUUGCAACCCUCAGAGACUAUACGCUAGACCAUCCUUCGCUAAAAGCUACGGAUGGCAGGCCCUAAUACUUUAAUAUAAGUAAUUAAGGAGCUUGCCCGCCGAAGCUAAAGCGUAGGCGGGAAGAUAUAGUCCGAGCUGCGUAGCGAUACGUAGAGUAUGGCAGAAAUGACCAUACCAUCUACAACAAGUAUGAUGUAACAAAAUGUCGGUCUCCUAUCUGCCGUGGGCGUUGAAAUUUGAGAAGAUCUUUCUCUAGUACGAGAGGACCGAGAAGGACGAACCACUCGUUGACGAGUUGUCCUGCCAAGGGCAUUGCUCGGUAGCGACGUUCGGUUAGGAUAAACGCUGAAAGCAUCUAAGCGUGAAGCCGCCUUCAAGAUUAGAUUUCAUCAUUAGAUUCCCGGGAGAUGACCGGGUUGAUAGGCUUCAGGUGUAAGUCCGGUAACGGAUUUAGCCGAGAAGUACUAAUAAAAUCGAGCUUAA
rnacentral:rRNA from 1 species